rnacentral:tRNA from 1 species
AAAUAAAGAAGUAAAAUUUUACAUUUAGUUUCGACCUAAAAAUAAGAGUAUCUCCAUAUU